ACAUAUACUUUAAAAAAAAAAAAAAAGCAUAUCUAUAUAAAAUAAUACAAAACAAAAACCCUUCUGGGGUUUUUAGUGGUGGUUGAGCUAUUCCCACAUGUGGGCAUCACAAAAGAAGCCAUGGCUCACACCAAGGUGGGAUGAGCUCCUUGACCUGUAGGAGGCAUCCUGCUUUGUUUCAGGACCCCUCCCCAGCUGUAUUGUCUCGUGGCAGUGAAAUGUCUCUGCAUCAGGUCCAGGGGGGUCUUUCACUGUGUGUGAGUUCUGAAUCAUGUUCCGGUUGCUUGGCCCUGCCACUUGGGCCCAGAAAGCAUUUUGAGCAUAACUACUACAUCUUUUUCAGAUCAGUAUAAUAAAGGAGUGACAUGCAAUAAAAAAAAAAA